AAAAUGACACGUGGCAUGCAUGACACUUGUUUGGAAAAAAGGACAGAAAGAAACUCCAUCUCCGGCAAUGCUUCCACCUGCCGACGGCUGCGCCACCGCCAAAUUCCCCAAUUCCGGAAACAUUCCUUCUCUGUUAGCGCCUAUUAACAAGGAUCUGAUUACAUUCAGAAAGCAUGGCCUAGAGAAGAAGUAAAGAGAGAUUCAAGGAACAUGCAGAUGAAGAUUCGCAAAUGAGUUUUACUGUAGACCUGGUUGGAAGAGUUUUUCAGAGAAGCAAAUGUGACAGUUGAUUUCUUGGUGAAGAAUGGGUGCUCGUGGAAUUACAACAACAUAUGGAAGCAUUGACUAUCCUUCUUUGUUAGCAGCUAAUGAUUAACAAAGAUUUGGCACAACUUAUUCCUUUAGAUUCAUUAGAGCAAAAUAUUAGCUUUUGUUAGUACUGAAGUAUGGUAAAUCUGUAAUCACAGCUGUUAUGUUGAA